GGGGUGUGGCUCAACGGUGGAGUGCUUGCCUAACAUGCAUGAAGUCCUGAGUUCAGUCCCCAGUCCCCA
rnacentral:tRNA from 1 species